rnacentral:rRNA from 1 species
GAUGAAUGCUGGCGGCGUGCCUAACACAUGCAAGUCGAGCGGCAGCGCGGUCUUCGGACCGGCGGCGAGCGGCGGACGGCUGAGUAACGCGUGGGAACAUACCCCAAAGUGAGGGAUAACCGCCCGAAAGGGUGGCUAAUACCGCAUAUGGUCUUCGGAUUAAAGGAUUUAUCCGCUUUGGGAAUGGCCUGCGUACGAUUAGAUAGUUGGUGAGGUAAUGGCUCACCAAGUCGACGAUCAUUAACUGGUCUGAGAGGAUGAUCAGUCAGACUGGAACUGAGACACGGUCCAGACUCCUACGGGAGGAAGCAGUGAGGAAUCUUCCACAAUGGGCGAAAGCCUGAUGGAGCAACGCCGCGUGCAGGAUGAAGGCCUUCGGGUUGUAAACUGCUUUUAUGAGUGAAGAAUAUGACGGUAACUCAUGAAUAAGCACCGGCUAACUACGUGCCAGCCGCCGCCGUAA